GGAUACUGUAAAUGACAAGUAUCCUAUGGCAACCAGUGUAAUAUCAUGUAAAAUACACGGUAUACCGUGUAUUUUACAUGAUAUUACACUGGUUGCCAUAGGAUACUUGUCAUUUACAGUAUCC